rnacentral:rRNA from 1 species
GAACGAACGCUGGCGGCGUGCCUAACACAUGCAAGUCGUGCGGGAAAGUGGGGGCAACUCCACGAGUAGAGCGGCGCACGGGUGAGUAACACGUAGGUAACCUGCCUCCGAGCUCGGGAUAACCUGUCGAAAGACGGGCUAAUACCGGAUAAGACCACGCUGGCUGCGGCCGGCGGGGUAAAAGGUGGCCUCUGCUUGCAAGCUACCACUUGGAGAUGGGCCUGCGCGCCAUUAGCUAGUUGGUGGGGUAACGGCUCACCAAGGCAAAGAUGGCUAGCUGGUCUGAGAGGAUGGCCAGCCACACUGGGACUGAGACACGGCCCAGACUCCUACGGGAGGCAGCAGUGGGGAAUAUUGCGCAAUGGGCGAAAGCCUGACGCAGCGACGCCGCGUGGGUGAUGAAGGCCUUCGGGUCGUAAAGCCCUGUCUGGAGGGAAGAAUCCUCGGCGACCUAAUACGUCGUCGACCUGACGGUACCUCCGAAGGAAGCACCGGCUAACUCCGUGCCAGCAGCCGCGGUAA